AGGGAAGGCACCAGACUGCGCAACGAGUGUCCUGGCCGCAGCAGAAUUGAUCCCACGGAGAAAGCGGCUCCAGAGAAACACAGAGGGAGCUGGUGUUUCUCGUCUACGGAGAAGUCGUGGCCGCCAUCUGAACACCGAAAUGG